GCAGUUGGACCUUGUGAGCGCUGCGGUGGCAGUAGACGCCCAUGCUCCCCGAGCUUCGGGAAGAAGUUUUUACUUAGCAGUUAUAAAUGGAGACGGAGUAUCUUCAAAAGAAUCUUGGGACAUGUCUAACUCAAGGGCUUGCAGAAGUGGCAAGGAUGCGGCCAGUGGAUCCAAUAGAAUAUUUGGCAUUGUGGAUUUACAAGUAUAAAGAAAAUGUGACCAGGGAGCAACUGAGACAAGAGGAAAUGGCCCAGUUGGAGCAUGAAAGACAAAUAGCUCUGAUGGAGCAGGAAAUGAUGGAGAGACUUAAAGCAGAAGAGCUCCUAUUUCAGCAGCAACAGCUGGCAUUCCAGCUGGAGUUGGAAAUGCAAGAAAAAGAGAGACAGAGAAUAGAAGAACUGCAGAGAGCUCAAGAACAAUUUGAGAGGGAAUUGAGAAUGAACAUGGAAAAUAUAGCUAAGGGUGAAGAUACCUUACAUGGAGAGGACAGAGCCGACUCAGGCAAAACACUGGCUGAAAUCAGUGAUCGUUACGGGGCACCUAACUUGAGCAGAGUGGAAGAACUUGAUGAACCAAUGCUAUCUGAUGUAAGUAUCCUUAGGAAAUUGUUUUGUGAAAAGCAGAAUUUUUUUUUUUUUUUUUAACUUUAGGAAGGCCUAGUGCAUAUGAGGCUGGGGUUGGAUGGCAGAUGGGCCUUUUGCUUCAUAGAAGGAAAACCAGUUUUCUGGAUGCCAGCAUAUCCCUAAUUGGCCUUCUGCCUUUUUGUGCUGCGUGUUACUGGCUCUGAGGGUGCAGGCAGGCACAUGUCUGGCUCCACACAAAUGUGUGGGCCCUGAGUGGGAAGCAGCUGGGAGUUGGUGUUAAGGUAGCAGUGUGCCCUCCUAUGCAGAGCGUGAUAUGUAUGUUUAGAGUGAGGCUUUGAAAAUUUCAAAAUCUCUUCAGAAUAGGUAUUUAAAAGCAUGUGGUGAAAUACAUAACCUUUAAAUUAAAAUUUGGGGGCCAACACUGACCCAAAACAUGGAGCCAAAUAAAUAUCUUAAUGAGAGUGCAUGCUUUUAUAGUAUAUAAGCACAUCUGCUAUUUAAUAAACAUGUAAUGUUUGCUAUUGUGCCACACAUGGUGCUUGAUGCUGUUAUGAGUAAAACAGGUCAUUUUUGACCUUGUCUAGGGGAGAGACAAUUGGAUAAGCAAUUAAUAGUCAUUAUUAGGAGUUUCCUUGUGGUGCAGUGGGUUAAGGAUUUAGUGAUGUCAUUGCAGCCGCUUGGGUUGCUGCUGUGACACAUGUUUGAUUCCACCCAGGAACUGCUACAUGCUGGUGGCACAGCCCCCCCCCCCCAAAAAAAGAGUGACCAGGUAAUUUAUUGCCCAAACCAGUAUGCUUUGAGAACAAAGGGCAGAGCUGUUGGUAAUUGAGCCAAGUCAGCUGGAUGUAAACCAGGACUGGCCUGACAGAGGGAUUCAUUGAGUCACCUUCGUCAGUGAGCACUGACAAGGUGGGACAGCUGCCCGGUUGAAGACUCUUGGUCAGGAAAGGCUUCCUGAAGGAAAUCCACUUGUCCCUUGGUGGGAGGCUGAAAGCACAGAGUGUGAAGACCCAGCUCAGGGAGAAUAGAGAGAGUAGGAGGCAGAGAGAGAUUGGAGCUGAGGCAGUGGGGAAGGCAGGGGCCAGACCAGGAGAGGAUGUGUAAGGUGGGCUCAGAAGUUUAUAUUUUAUCCUGGGGACAAUGGAGGCUAACAUGAUCAAAGCUGCAUUUGAGGAAGGCCAUCUGGCCACAGGAUGUGGAAAAGACUGAAAUGAUAGAUUUGCAGAGACCCACUAGGAGGUUCUUGUAAUCUGGAGAGAGAUGGCAUUGAUGGCCUGGAGUAGUAAAGGGUGUUUUCAAGAGCUGUUCAGAAAGUAGAGCUGGAAGGAUUUGGUGCCAAUCAGUCUGUGGUUACAUUCUUAUUAAAUGGCUGCCAUGUUUCAGUACUGUGCAGGGAGCUAGACAAUGCCAGUGAACAAAACAUAUUGAGUUCCUGCUCUUUGGGGUCCAUGGGCUAGCCCAAAAGGUGCUCUCAGGGGACAGAGCAGGGAAAUUAGCCCACGUGAGUCUCCUCCAGGAAGUGUCAUUUAAGGAACUAGCCUGAGAUAAGCCCUGCAGAUGGAAAGGGCGAGAUACUUUCAAAGAACUGGAGCAGUCUAUUAUGGCUGAGUUGCAUGGAGCCAGUAGAAUGGUGUGAUUUGAAGCUGGAGAUGUGGGUAGAGAUCACACUGAUCACACUGAGCUCUGUGAGUCGUGUUAGGGAUUUGGGACUUGAGUGCCGUGGGAGUCUUCGAAAGAUGUAUGUGAGGAUUAGAUAUGUGUUUUUAGAAAGUGGAGCGAGGAUUUGAAUGGGUAGGCGUGGAAGCAGGAGACCACCUAGGAGGUUAUUAGAGGCAGCCACAUGCAAGGUGAUCAGGGCUAGGACCAAGGUGCAGACAGCAGAGAUAGGGACAGCUGAGUGGAUUUGAUAUUGGUUGAGAGGAUAAAGGAGAGAAAGAAAUCAAAGAUGAAGCCCAGAUUUCUCCCUUGGACAGCCUGGAUGCUUCACCAUUUUUUUGAGCUUUCUCAUUGGUUGAAUUGAGGAACAUAUGAAGAGAAAGUUGGUUUUGUGAAAAUGAUGGCUUCAGUUGUGGACAUGUUGAAUUUCAGGUCACUCUGAGGUAUGCAGGUAAAAAUGGCCAAAGACCAGUUGAAGUACAAUGUGGAUCUGAAGGACAGGAGGGAGGUCCAGCAGGAGAUAGGAGUUCAGCGGUCAUUGGCAUAUAGGCUUAGUGCAGCUGGGAGUGUGAGUAAAGUACCUAGGAGUGCAUGCAGAUGUGAAGGAGGGGGCUCAGGGUGAAACCCUGAGAAAUUUCAACAUUUAAGGGGUGGGUAUGGGACCCCUAUAAGAAGGAUAUAGAUAACAGUAAGAGAAAAUAGCAAGAGAAGUAGAAGAAAGGAUGGGUUAAUAAAUACACUGAGAACACAAUUACAUUAUUGCUAUAUUGAAUUUGCAUUUUACUUGAAAUAAUCUGAAACUAUCAAAAACCUUGAUUUACAUAGUCACAUAGAAAUUACCUAAGCUCUAAUUUUCUGUGACUUGUAUAUUUUCACAGUUCUAAUUGUUGCAUUAAACAUUGAUCAAGAUUUGUAGAAUCAACCAACCUAAGAACAAUAAAUUUUUCUUGUUUCAAAUUUCAAAGUGUGAGGUCCCCAAACAUAUUCCACCCCCAAACUUGAAUUCUACUUUUUUCCCCUCUGAAGACAGCUUUGUAAAUGGGCUUCAAGGGUGGUCUUAAAAUAUUGUUUUGGAUUUCUCAAUGUCACUAGUUACUGUAUGAUUCCAUUGAGAGGUCGGGAGAGAGCAACUAAAAGGGGCAGUGGGAGACAAGCUGAAAAGAAUGUGAGUAUCUGUGUGAGAACAGAUUGCCUAAGAUGGAAGUUACUGGUCUGUGAGAAGUGAAAGAGGCUGCCACUACGUAGUGCUCAGGAAUAUUCAACAUGCUUUAGAUAUGGUGUUUCCUCCUAUGAGAACACUUCAAAGAUUUCCCCAGUUUGCUGGGAAGCGAUGCUCUAGAGUACCACUUAAUCCAUGCUUAUUGAUGGGACUGUGAUGGGGAGGGAUGGAACGUACCUGGGUACAGAGAAGCAGCAUUUCUUCUUGAACAAUCAUUGGGCAAAGUUGCUGUGUUGAAAGGAAGAUCUCACUGGAUACAGGCCCUGCAGUGUGUUCCCUUCAGUAGAUACUGGAUGGUCUGCAGACCCUGACUGUACUCUUGGCCUCUUGGAAGUUUCAGGGCUAGCCUUAAACUUUAAGGAGAACUUCACUUCCUUUAUAAAAUUCUUCCAAAUCUACGUCUAUGUUAUGAGUCCUUUCUGUUCCUUUAGACAGAAUGGUAUAGGCAUGGAAGCGUAAAUGCCAGAAAGAGGCUUCUUUAAAAAAACAGUUCUGGUUUUAGCUAUAACAUACCUUUCCUGGGACAGUGAGAACAGAACAGCCUAGGUGCUUAAAUAGGAAAAGAAACAGGGGAAAAUCUAUUGAUUUCAUAGAAAAGAAAUAUUAUCUUAGGAGUUCCUGUUGUGACUCAGUGGGUUACAAAACCAACUAGUAUCCAUGAGGAUGCAGGCUUGAUCCCUGGCCUCGCUCAGUGGGUUAAGGAUCUGGCAUUGCCCUGAGCUGUGGUGUAGGUCACAGAUGCUGCUCAGAUCCUGCAUUUCUGUAGCUGUGGCUGUGGCUGGCAGCUGCAGCUCUGAUUCAACCCCGAGCCUGGGAACUUCCAUAUGCUGUAGGUGCAGCCCUAAAAAAAAAAAAAGAGAGAGAGAAAUAUUAUCUCAUCAUAUCUGUUCUGUAUAUUUUUUGAGGAAAAAGUCCCAGGUGCCCUGAAGAGAUGACUUUUGUGUCCGUCAGGCUACCAUGCACUGUCUUUCCUGCACAGAUGCCCUGAGUUCACUCCACCCAGGCAAGAGUGUCUCAGGCAUCAAGACAGUGUCCUUCAAGGCCUUGACCUCAGCCUAAGUGGCACCAUCAUGGAGAGAUAGGUGUGGAAGGGCAGGCUCAGAGGGCAUCUUGGGCUCUGUGCAGCCCAUGGCACUCUCCAAAGGGUGCAUGCAGUCUGGUGUAAGGAUUUGACAGCAAGGGUCUCCUGAGUGUUAGGCAGCACUCAGGAGAGUUCACAGGGUAAAGCAUUAUGGAUCUGGGGUAGUCCUGUUUAAAGCUCCCAGCUGUAGAGGCAUGAGAGGGAGGAGGUGGAAGAGGGUAAGAAAGGUCGAUGACACAGAUCCAACCUCUGGGGAGGGAGCAGAGCCUUCGUGAAGAUUUAGCUGGUGAUCAGGAUGCCAGACAAAUGGGCUGGUGUAAGGGAAGAGGCUCCUAUCCCCACAAGGAGAUGGCUCACAGGUAGAGCAGAUGCCUGGGCCCACUGGGACUGGGGCACAGCCAUCGUCUUCAGACAGACAGCUGUGCUGAGUCUGGAUCUAGGCUUUAGUGUUUCUUGCCAAUGGCAAGACUUAUUUUAGACCCACCCAAAGGAUGGGGAGGAGAUGGCUCCUUUUCUGGCAGACUUUCUGUUGCCAGAUGACAUCCUGUUGUUGGUUGAAGUAUUCUAGAUUUUCCUACUGAUCUGGUCUUGUGGAAGGCAAGGAUAACAGAAGAGGAGGAGGAAAUGGAUGAAAGGAUGUGGAGAGAUAAACAGGAUGUACAUUCCCAUCAUGGCUCAGUGGUUAGCGAAUCCGACUAAGAACCAUGAGGUUGCGGGUUCGAUCCCUGGCCUUGCGCAGUGGGUUAAGAAUCCAG
rnacentral:lncRNA from 1 species